UAGGGAAUCUUCCGCAAUGGACGCAAGUCUGACGGAGCAACGCCGCGUGAGUGAAGAAGGAUUUCGGUUCGUAAAACUCUGUUGUUAGAGAAGAACAGCGCAUAGAGUAACUGUUAUGCGUGUGACGGUAUCUAACCAGAAAGCCACGGCUAACUACGUGCCAGCAGCCGCGGUAAUACGUAGGUGGCAAGCGUUGUCCGGAUUUAUUGGGCGUAAAGCGAGCGCAGGCGGUCAAUUAAGUCUGAUGUGAAAGCCCCCGGCUCAACCGGGGAGGGUCAUUGGAAACUGGUUGACUUGAGGGCAGAAGAGGGGAGUGGAAUUCCAUGUGUAGCGGUGAAAUGCGUAGAUAUAUGGAGGAACGCCAGUGGCGAAGGCGACUCUCUGGUCUGUAACUGACGCUGAGGCUCGAAAGCGUGGGUAGCAAACAGG
rnacentral:rRNA from 1 species